rnacentral:rRNA from 1 species
CCUACGGGAGGCAGCAGUGGGGAAUAUUGCACAAUGGGCGAAAGCCUGAUGCAGCGACGCCGCGUGAGGGAUGACGGCCUUCGGGUUGUAAACCUCUUUCAGCAGGGAAGAAGCGAAAGUGACGGUACCUGCAGAAGAAGCGCCGGCUAACUACGUGCCAGCAGCCGCGGUAAUACGUAGGGCGCAAGCGUUGUCCGGAAUUAUUGGGCGUAAAGAGCUCGUAGGCGGCUUGUUGCGUCGGUUGUGAAAGCCCGGGGCUUAACCCCGGGUCUGCAGUCGAUACGGGCAGGCUAGAGUGUGGUAGGGGAGAUCGGAAUUCCUGGUGUAGCGGUGAAAUGCGCAGAUAUCAGGAGGAACACCGGUGGCGAAGGCGGAUCUCUGGGCCAUUACUGACGCUGAGGAGCGAAAGCGUGGGGAGCGAACAGGAUUAGAUACCCUGGUAGUCCACGCCGUAAACGUUGGGAACUAGGUGUUGGCGACAUUCCACGUCGUCGUGCGCNGCUACGCAUAGUUCCCGCCGUCGGGAGGUACGGCCGCGAGACGUAAACGUACGAACUAGUAAGUUAGUACGGCGUUGUAGACGUUGCCGACGGACGACGACGAGGGAGGAGG